CCUACGGGGGGCAGCAGUGAGGAAUAUUGGUCAAUGGGCGCGAGCCUGAACCAGCCAAGUAGCGUGAAGGAUGACUGCCCUACGGGUUGUAAACUUCUUUUAUAAAGGAAUAAAGUGAGGCACGUGUGCCUGUUUGUAUGUACUUUAUGAAUAAGGAUCGGCUAACUCCGUGCCAGCAGCCGCGGUAAUACGGAGGAUCCGAGCGUUAUCCGGAUUUAUUGGGUGUAAAGGGAGCGUAGAUGGGUUGUUAAGUCAGUUGUGAAAGUUUGUGGCUCAACCGUAAAAUUGCAAUUGAUACUGGCAGUCUUGAGUACAGGUGAGGUAGGCGGAAUUCGUGGUGUAGCGGUGAAAUGCUUAGAUAUCACGAAGAACACCGAUUGCGAAGGCAGCUUACUAAACUGCAACUGACGUUGAGGCUCGAAAGUGUGGGGAGCAAACAGGAUUAGAUACCCCGGUAGUC
rnacentral:rRNA from 1 species